AGCCACGCUGAAGGGGGGAUAGGCAUCAAAACAAGUCAACAGGGACACUAAAGGAGAAGCGGCGUUGCCCAGUGGAAGAAGGACCUGGUCACUAAUCCCCGCUCUGCCUCUUGUUGGCUGUGUGAAUUUGGCAAGGGGAGCAGUGGACUCAGGCUUUGCACCUCAUGCCGGGCCUCUCCUCCAGGGCAAUCAUUUUUUCCAGGGCUUGUGGAGGAAGAUUUGACCCUUCAGCGAAAACCACCAGAUCUUCCACUGGGAACGUGUGCCCCCGACCUUCCUUGAGCUCGUGGCCUUUCCCGCUGACCGAAUAGAGAUCGUGAGAGUGAUUCUCCUCUACGGUGGACAUAUAUAUACAGCUCUCCUUCGGGCUUGAAGAUUUUGAUACUGUUGAUGCCCUGGAAAGAGCAGGAAUUUCAGUGAGACCUGCUCCUGGACCGGAUGACCCAAGGAGGUGAAGCAGCAUGGCCUAAUGGAGAGACCAUGGGCCUGUGAGUCAGAAGCACCUGGGUUCUAAUUCCAGCUCUG